CAAGACCUUGCGCUUUUGGAGCGGCCGAUGUCUGAUUAGCUAGUUGGUGGGGUAAAGGCCUACCAAGGCGACGAUCAGUAGUUGGUCUGAGAGGACGACCAGCCACACUGGGACUGAGACACGGCCCAGACUCCUACGGGAGGCAGCAGUGGGGAAUUUUGGACAAUGGGCGCAAGCCUGAUCCAGCAAUGCCGCGUGAGUGAAGAAGGCCUUCGGGUUGUAAAGCUCUUUCAGUCGAGAAGAAAAGGCUGUGGUAAAUAAUCGCAGCUCAUGACGGUAUCGACAGAAGAAGCACCGGCUAACUACGUGCCAGCAGCCGCGGUAAUACGUAGGGUGCAAGCGUUAAUCGGAAUUACUGGGCGUAAAGGGUGCGCAGGCGGUUUUGUAAGUCAGAUGUGAAAUCCCCGGGCUUAACCUGGGAAUU
rnacentral:rRNA from 1 species